UCGCAUCCUGGGGCUGGAGAAGGUCCCAAGGGUUUGGCUGUUCGCCAAUUAAAGCGGUACGCGAGCUGGGUUCAGAACGUCGUGAGACAGUAAAACAAGGGAAUUGCUGUCUAUAAAUCUGGCUAUAUGCUGGAAACCCUGUCCUCUAAAAGGGGAAUAGAAUCUUGCACUACCUAGAAAGUUACUCAUAAUAAUAUUAGUAACUCGGGUGAAAAUGUGUCAAGUGCAGACAAUCAGCAGGAAAGGCUAGGCAACUACAUUGCAGGUUAUGUUGACGGGGAAGGUAGUUUUCAUGUUGGUAUUCGAAAAGUUUAAAUGUUAAACUUGGAUACCAGCUGGUUCCGGAAUUUCAUGUUAGUCAAAAUAGUGAUAGGAAUCAGGUCUUAAUGUUAAUUAAAGAGACAUUAGGAUGUGGUUAUAUAAAACCAAAUCAUAAAAAUAGACUAAAUGAUAAUUCGGAAGUGCUUGUCGUUAGAAAUCGAAAUGAUUUACUAACAAAAGUAAUACCUUUCUUUAAGGCAAACCCGAUAAUCUCUAGUAAGCAAAAGGAUUUUGAAACUUUUGCCGAAAUAGUAUAUUCCAUGGAAAAAGGUGAUCAUCUCAUAAGGAAAAGCUUAAUUAAUUUAAUUAAAAAAGCUUUUGCAACGAAUGGAGGUGGAAAAUAUCGUAAAUGGAAUAUAGAAAUUAUAACUGCAAGCCUAGAAUCCUCAGAGACUAUAUGCCAGAAUCCGGCAACUGCCGGAUAAGAUAUAGUCCGAGCUGCAUGGCGACAUGCAGAGUCUAGCAGAAAUGGCUAGGCCACUCCGAUUUAAAUCGGAGAAGUAACAACACUGUCGGUCCCUAUCUGUUAUGGGCGUUGAAAUUUGAAGGAAGCUGCUCCUAGUAAGAAAUUGCUACUUUACGGAGUAAUCCGUAAUGACAAUUCGGCUAAUAACGGUGAAGCCUUCAUAAAUUUAUUUGGCAACGGAAAAAUAACUGGUUUCGGUCAACCGGUUGUGAUAUAUUUGCUGAGGACCAUAUAAAUUUUUAAGGUAAUACCGUGGGAAGUCGUCUUAAAACUCAAUUGGCAUAUAUAGCGGGUUUUCUUGAUGGCGAUGGAAGCUUGAUGUUACAGAUAAAGAAGUGAAGCGACAAUGGUCGCGCAAGAUUUAUGGCAACUAUCUGUUUCUAUCAAGAUUCACGUCAUGACAAACCAUUGUUCUGGAUAAAAGAUAUUCUGAGUAUCGGAUACAUUUCAAAGAGAAAUGAUGGUAUCACAGAACUUAGAAUAAACGGCUAUAAGCAAGUAGAAAGAAUUUUAAAAUUGCUUAAACCAUUUAUCCAGUUUAAGGAGAUUCAAGCUGAUACACUUUUAAAAGCGACAAUGUUGCUUCAAAGUGAAAAUCUUGAAUCAAAAGAUUAUGAAAAACUUGUAGAAUAUAUGCUUAUAAUUCAAAACGAAAACUACAGAUCAAGAAAAAAGAAAACCAAAGAAGAAUUAUUAAAAGUUUUAGGAUUGACCCCGUAACGACUUGUCUCGCAAAGAGACGGACUUAUAUAAACUGGAAAGCCUUAAAAAGCAGGUUUAUAUGGGUAAUACGCCGACCCCUAAUCCGGCAUUGCCGGAAAGGGUGAAGAUAUAGUCUAUGCUCCUAGAAAUAGGGGAAGUACAUGACGAGAGGACCGGAGCGGACGAACCUCUGGUGUACCAGUUGUCCUGCCAAGGGCAUUGCUGGGUAGCUAACGUUCGGAAGGGAUAACCGCUGAAAGCAUAUAAGUGGGAAGCCCAUCCUAAGAUUAGAUUUCGUUACAGACUCCAUAUAGAACAUGUGGUUGAUAGGCUUUAGGUGUAAGUCCGGUAACGGAUUCAGCCGAGAAGUACUAAUAAGUCGAUGACUUGAUUUUUAA
rnacentral:rRNA from 1 species